AAAGCGUGGCUUAUUUACUGUCACUGAAAUGAACGACAAAGUGCAGUUUAUCGGUAGCUAAAGUCUGCCUAUAGGAGAGAAAGCACACUCAUACGGAUCUGAAAAUGCCAACGGCGGAUUGCUUAUUUGUUACAUGGAGCCUAUCUGUUUCACCGACACUGUCUCUGCUCUGUCUCAGGCAAACAAGGGCCUAGAGACUGAGAGAGGACAAAUCCUGUCUGCUGGAGUCUAUAAACAACAGACGAUGCUCAAGGACAAGCAGGAGGAGUGGGUAAAAAAGCAGGGAUGGCUUGAUGGAGAAAUGUAUGGAUCUUGAGUGCCA